rnacentral:rRNA from 1 species
UACGAAGGGGGCUAGCGUUGUUCGGAAUCACUGGGCGUAAAGCGCACGCAGGCGGAUCGAUAAGUCGGGGGUGAAAGCCCGGGGCUCAACCUUGGAAUUGCCUUCGAUACUGUCGGUCUCGAGUCCGGGAGAGGUGAGUGGAAUUCCUAGUGUAGAGGUGAAAUUCGUAGAUAUUAGGAAGAACACCAGUGGCGAAGGCGGCGCACUGGCCUGGUACUGACGCUCAGGUGCGGAAGCGUGGGGAGCAAACAGG